AAAGAAAGAGGAAAGAAAUAGGUAAAGUAUCUCGUGGAUGCCUUGAAAUCCAAUUCUAAAAGGACGUAUUGCGCUGCGAUAAGUCAUGAGGAGAAGCGUAUAAUCUGUGAUUCAUGAAUAUCCUAAGAGGAAACUCUCUCUUUAAGAGAUCAAUCAACUUGGUGAAGUGAAACAUCUCAGUAACCAAAGGAAAAGAAAUCAAAAGAGAUUCCGUUAGUAGUGGCGAAUGAAACCGGAGUAGGCCAAUUUUCUAACUUGUUUUGAAUUGUACUAAAGACUUUCGGGUCUUUGUUACUAAGUUUAACAGGAAAGAAAAGCUUUGACUUUUUAGCAACUAAAAUUGUUUGGAAAAAUAAACCAUAGAAGGUGAAAGUCCUGUAUAGGUAAAAACUAAAAAGCAAAGUAAGAGAGUAAGACGGGACACGUGAAAUCCUGUCUGAAAAUGGGGAGACCACUCUCUAAGCCUAAAUAGUAUUGGAUCAUCGAUAGUGAACAAGUACUGUGAAGGAAAGGUGAAAAGAAUUCUGGGUAAGAAUAGUGAAAUAGACCUGAAACGGGAUACGUCAAAUCAGUUGCAUGAAGAGUUAUUACUUUUUGGCAACGUACCUUUUGCAUAAUGGGUCAGCGAGUUUUAGUAACUAGCAAGCUUAAGCCGUUAGGUGUAGGCGUAGCGAAAGCGAAUUUGAAAGACAGUGUUAGUUAGUUGCUAAAUACCCGAAACUGAAUGAUCUAGCCAUGACCAAGUUGAAGAUAUGGUAAAACAUAUUGGAGGACUGAACCAGUGGUUGUAGAAAUAACCUUGGAUGAGUUGUGGCUAGGGGUGAAAGGCUAAUCAAAUUCAGUGAUAGCUGGUUUUCUGCGAAAUCUAUGUUAGUAGAGCGCGUUUGGUGAACUCAUUCCAGGUAGAGCACUCAAUGGAUACUGGGGGUCGUAAAGAUACUUCAGGUUCAAGGAAACUCCGAAUUAGAAUGAGAAUCCCAACGUAGACAGACUUAAGGUGAUAAGAUCUUAGGUCAAAAGGGAAACAGCUCAGAUCGUAGGCUAAGGUCUCUAAGUGAUGAUUAAGUGAGAAAGGCUGUGAGAGAGCUAAGACAGCCAGGAGGUGUGCUUGGAGGCAGCAAUCCUUUAAAGAAAUCGUAAUAGAUCACUGGCCGAUCGCUUUCUUGCGCCGAAAAUGUAACGAGACUAAAUCAUCCACCCAAGCCACGAAUGCUUGCAAUACUACAUGAAGGAAUCUUCAUCUAAGCAUUGUAUAGCGUGGUAGCAGAAUGUUCUGUAACUUAAUGAAGAGAUGAUGUGAAUCAUCUUGGAGAGAUCAGAAGUAAGAAUGCUGACAUGAGUAACGAUAAACUAUGUCAAAUCAUAGUCGCCGAAAGCUCAAGGUUUUCACCAAAAGGAUCGACCGUGGUGAGUUAAGUGGCCUCUUAGAGAAAGACGAAAGUUUUACUUGAUGAGUAGAUUUUAGAUGACGGAUUCUCGGACUCAACCUUUUCUUCUUAAUGGAUCGAAGAUUUGGGAAUGAGGGUUCCAGGAAAUAACUAAAGUCAACACUACCAUACCGGAAACCGACACAGGUGAGCGGGCUGAGUAUGCUAAGGCGCGUGAGUGAAGCAUCCCAAAGGAACUCGGCAAAUUAACUUCGUAACUUCGGGAGAAGAAGUACCUAUUGAUUUGGAAUCUUUAGGUGGCACAGAAAUGAGGAUGGCGACUGCUUAGUAAAAGCACAGCUUUUCGCUAAUUCGUAAGAAGACGUAUGAGAAGUGAGACCUGCCCGGUGCCAUAAAGUUAACAGGACUUGUCUUCGGGCAAGAAAUUGAAGCCAUGGUAAACGGCGGUCCUAUUUUGAGGAUCCAAAGGUAGCGUAACCCACUGUCGGGUAAGUUCCGACCUGCAUGAAUGGUAUAACGACUGUCCUACUGUCUCUGGGAUGCGCUCAGUGAAAUUGAAAUCUCCGUGCAGAUGCGGAGUACACUCAGCAAGACGUGAAGACCCUAUACACCUUUACUAGAUUUUUACAUUGUAAUUAUAAAUUUCUUCUGCAGCAUAGGUGCCAGUCUAGGAUUGCUUAGCGCCAGCUAAGAGGGAGACCACAUUGAGAUAGCACCGUGGAAAUUUGUCAUUACUAACUUGAUCUUUUCUUCUACUCUAUUGAAGUUGUUAAUUUGAUAAGGACAAUGUAUGAUUGCUAGUUUAACUGGGGCGGUUUCCUCCUAAAUUGUAACGGAGGAGUGCGAAGGUUGGCUCAGGUUGGACGGAAACCAACUGAUUGAGUAUAAUAGCAUAAGCCAGCCUGACUGCAACACCUACAAGUGAAGCAGAGGCGCAAGCCGGCUAUAGUGAUCCUGUAGUAUCGCGUGGAAUAACUACAGCUCAACGGAUAAAAGGUACGUUAGGGAUAACAGGCUAAUGACUCCUGAGAGCUCUUAUCGAUGGAGUUGUUUGGCACCUCGAUGUCGACUCAUCAUAUCCUGAGGCUGAAGAAGGUCUCAAGGGUUCGGCUGUUCGCCGAUUAAAAUGGUACGUGAGUUGGGUUUAGAACGUCGUGAGACAGUUUGGUCCCUAUCUGCUGAGUGUGUAAAGAGAACUUAAAGGCUCUGGGCCUCGUACGAAAGGAACGGCUUGGACAUACCUAUAGUGUACCAGUUGUCAUUCCAAUGGCAUCGCUGGGUAGCCACGUAUGGAAUGGAUAAUUGCUGAAAGCAUCUAAACAAGAAACCAGCCUUGAAUAUAGUUCUCAUAAAAACGUAAUACAACAUUACGUCAAUAGGUUGAAUGUGUAAGUAUGGCAACAUAUUUAGCUAAUCAAUACUAACCUUUUUAAAAUUUCUUUCUUUCCUUUCUUU
rnacentral:rRNA from 1 species